UGAUUUAUUAUUUUAUUUUGGUUAAUUUUUCUUAAUUUUUAUUAUUUUUUUUUCUUUUAGUAUUUUAAUGAAUUUAUUUUUUUUUGUGAACUGAAUAGGUUUAUUUUUAAAUAUUUAAAAAUAAUUUUUAGUACCUUUUGUAUCAGGGUUAGUUUAUUAAAAUAUUUAUUAUUUAUUUCCCGAAUUGAAAAUAUUUAGAUUUAAAUUAGAUUUUAUGUUUUAUAAUAUUUCUUAAUUUAAUUCUGGUAGUAAAAAGUUAUUCGUUUUUCAUAUGUAUCUGGUUUUCUAGGAAAAAAUUUAAUUUUGGAAAUAUUGGGUAUAAUUUUAUUUAAUUUAUUUCUUAUUAAUUUGGGGAUAAGCUCAUUUUAGGUUUAAAAUUUAUAUAUUUUUAUUUUUAUUAGUUUUAAUAUUUUUCAUUAAGUUCUUAAUAGAUUUUAAUUUUUAUUUAAUGAUUUUUUUUUAUUUAUAUUUUUAUUAGAAUUUUUUAAGUAAUUUAUUUUUAUUAUAAAUAAUGAUUGAAUUAGUAUAAUUUUUAUUUAUUAAUUAAUGAAUUCGACAAAUAUUACUUUCAACUGUUUAACAAAAACAUUUCUUUUAGAUUUUAAUUAAAAGUAUUUUCUGCCCUAUGAUUUAAAAUUUAAAUGGCUGCAGUAUUUUGACUGUGCAAAGGUAGCAUAAUAAUUAGUCUUUUAAUUGAGGACUGGAAUGAAAGGAUAUAUGAAAAGUAUUUUUUAUUAUUUUUAUCAUUAUAAUUUUAUUUUUGAGUAAGAAAGCUUAAUUUUGUUUUAGGGACGAAAAGACCCUAUAGAACUUUAGUUAUUAAAUUAUUUAAUUAGAUUUUAGUAUAUAUAUAAGUUAUAUUUUUAAUAUUUUAAUUGGGGGGAUUAGUAAAUUUAAACUUUAUUUUUUUUAUUCAUUUUAUUUAUGAUUGUUAUGAUCCAUUAUUUAUUUAUGAUUAAAAGAUUAAGUUACCUUAGGGAUAACAGCGUAAUUUUAAUGGGGAGAUCAUAUCUAUAUUAAAGUUUGCGACCUCGAUGUUGAAUUAAGAAAAGUUUAAGGGGGAGUUUCUUUAAUUACUAAGUCUGUUCGACUUUUAAAUUCUUACAUGAUUUGAGUUCAGAUCGGCGUGAGCCAGAUCGGUUUCUAUCUUAAAAAUUUUAUAUUGUUUUAGUACGAAAGGACCAAAUAAUACUAUUAUUUAAUUUAUAGUUUUGGCUUUAAUUA
rnacentral:rRNA from 1 species